UGGUGGAGUGAUUUGUCUGGUUAAUUCCGUUAACGAACGAGACCUCGACCUACUAAAUAGUUUGACAAACUCUUCGGGGUUUGGAUUGACUUCUUAGAGGGACUUUUGGUGAGUAGCUAAAGGAAGUUCGAGGCAAUAACA
rnacentral:rRNA from 1 species